GGAUGAACGCUAGCUACAGGCUUAACACAUGCAAGUCGAGGGGAAACGGCAUUGAGUGCUUGCACUCUUUGGACGUCGACCGGCGCACGGGUGAGUAACGCGUAUCCAACCUUCCCAUUACUGUGGGAUAACCUGCCGAAAGGCAGACUAAUACCGCAUAGUCUUCGAUGACGGCAUCAGAUUUGAAGUAAAGAUUUAUCGGUAAUGGAUGGGGAUGCGUCUGAUUAGCUUGUUGGCGGGGUAACGGCCCACCAAGGCGACGAUCAGUAGGGGUUCUGAGAGGAAGGUCCCCCACAUUGGAACUGAGACACGGUCCAAACUCCUACGGGAGGCAGCAGUGAGGAAUAUUGGUCAAUGGACGGAAGUCUGAACCAGCCAAGUAGCGUGCAGGAUGACGGCCCUAUGGGUUGUAAACUGCUUUUGUAUGGGGAUAAAGUUAGGGACGUGUCCCUAUUUGCAGGUACCAUACGAAUAAGGACCGGCUAAUUCCGUGCCAGCAGCCGCGGUAAUACGGAAGGUCCAGGCGUUAUCCGGAUUUAUUGGGUUUAAAGGGAGCGUAGGCUGGAGAUUAAGUGUGUUGUGAAAUGUAGACGCUCAACGUCUGAAUUGCAGCGCAUACUGGUUUCCUUGAGUACGCACAACGUUGGCGGAAUUCGUCGUGUAGCGGUGAAAUGCUUAGAUAUGACGAAGAACUCCGAUUGCGAAGGCAGCUGACGGGAGCGCAACUGACGCUUAAGCUCGAAUGUGCGGGUAUCAGACAGGAUUAGAUACCCUAGUAGUCCGCACAGUAAACGAUGGAUGCCCGCUGUUGGUACCUGGUAUCAGCGGCUAAGCGAAAGCAUUAAGCAUCCCACCUGGGGAGUACGCCGGCAACGGUGAAACUCAAAGGAGUUGACGGGGGCCCGCACAAGCGGAGGACCAUGUGGUUUAAUUCGAUGAUACGCGAGGAACCU
rnacentral:rRNA from 1 species